rnacentral:tRNA from 1 species
GGGGCUGUAGCUCAGUUGGUAGAGCGUCUGCUUUGCAAGCAGAAUGUCAGGAGUUCGAGUCUCCUCAGCUCCACCA